AUUGAACGCUGGCGGCAUGCUUUACACAUGCAAGUCGAACGGUAACAGGCCGCAAGGUGCUGACGAGUGGCGAACGGGUGAGUAAUGCAUCGGAACGUGCCCAGUCGUGGGGGAUAACGCAACGAAAGCUGCGCUAAUACCGCAUACGAUCUGUGGAUGAAAGCGGGGGACCUUCGGGCCUCGCGCGAUUGGAGCGGCCGAUGUCAGAUUAGGUAGUUGGUGGGGUAAAGGCUCACCAAGCCAACGAUCUGUAGCUGGUCUGAGAGGACGACCAGCCACACUGGGACUGAGACACGGCCCAGACUCCUACGGGAGGCAGCAGUGGGGAAUUUUGGACAAUGGGGGCAACCCUGAUCCAGCAAUGCCGCGCGCAGGAAGAAGGCCUUCGGGUUGUAAACUGCUUUUGUACGGAACGAAAAGGCUCUGGUUAAUACCUGGGGCUCAUGACGGUACCGUAAGAAUAAGCACCGGCUAACUACGUGCCAGCCGCCGCCGUAACAC
rnacentral:rRNA from 1 species